GUUAAUGUUUUUAACGGAGUUGUCUACAUACAUAUCAACAAGAGGGAGAAAAAAUACUAUCUCCCGUUGACAUUGGAUGAAUUUCAGGAUAUGACAGACCUCCGAAGUAGCCUGGAGGAUAACUUACAUUUAAUUAAUCAGGUAAGUGUCAUUUCUAUAAGCAGUAUAAUGUUUAUCAUCAAUUUAUAGCUAGUUUUAAACAGUGUAUUGCACAACACCAUUCAAUUUCCCCACAGGGUCAGAAACAAGAAGAGACAAAACAAAAGGAACUUGGCAAACAAAAGGAUGAGCAACAGGACGAUGUGAGACACGUGGUUGAUCGAAGAAUGCAUCCAUAUCGUAAGAACCCGUCUGGAGCGGCUCAUAAUUACGCCGAAGAAUUUGAGCAGUAUCUAUCGUCAUUUCAAUGAGUUAUCUCCCUUCGCUCACUACAGUAUAUAUAAAUUCAAGCAGUAUCUUCAAGCUAUAGCUAUACGAGUUAUCGCUCUUUAGGUGCAUUUUUAUUUUACAAUACUAUCGACGUCUCUUCAGUUAUGUAUCAAAAACGUGUCGUUAAAUCUAUCAUUGAUUUGAACGGUGAUGUAUUGUUGAGAGAUAAAUCACACUAUUCAAAUAGUCUCUGUUUCCUUAGUAUCUUAUUCGGAUGUCACGAAGUAGACAUAUGUCGAUCAGUCAUCUACCGUAAAGUAAUUACAGCAAUACAGCUACGGUAUCCAGAAUUUAGAGACGAAACUCAAUUUUUCAUAGAUAGCAUAGUAGAGGUAAAGUAUGGGAGAGUUCGUUCCCAUAUGAAAAAGCUGAAGAAACACCGAUAUUAUUGUAAAGUAGAACUCAGCUUUUCAACUUAUGAA